rnacentral:tRNA from 1 species
AAUGAAAUGCCUGAGUAAAGGGUUAUUUUGAUAGAAUAAAUUAUAUAAUUUUAAAUUAUUUUCAUUG